rnacentral:rRNA from 1 species
GACGAACGCUGGCGGCGUGCUUAACACAUGCAAGUCGAACGGAAAGGCCCUGCUUUUGUGGGGUGCUCGAGUGGCGAACGGGUGAGUAACACGUGAGUAACCUGCCCUUGACUUUGGUAUAACUUCAGGAAACUGGGGCUAAUACCGGAUAGGAGCUCCUGCUGCAUGGUGGGGGUUGGAAAGUUUCGGCGGUUGGGGAUGGACUCGCGGCUUAUGAGCUUGUUGGUGGGGUAGUGGCUUACCAAGGCUUUGACGGGUAGCCGGCCUGAGAGGGUGACCGGCCACAUUGGGACUGAGAUACGGACCAGACUCCUACGGGAGGCAGCAGUGGGGAAUAUUGCACAAUGGGCGGAAGCCUGAUGCAGAAACGCCGCGUGCGGGAUGACGGCCUUCGGGUUGUAAACCGCUUUCGCCUGUGACGAAGCGUGAGUGACGGUAAUGGGUAAAGAAGCACCGGCUAACUACGUG